rnacentral:rRNA from 1 species
GCGCACCAGGCGCGAAACCUCCGCAAUACACGAAAGUGUGACGGGGCCAUCCCGAGUGCCGUCCGCUGAGGACGGCUUUUCCCCAGUGUACACAGCUGGGGGAAUAAGGAGAGGGCAAGCCUGGUGUCAGCCGCCGCGGUAAUACCAGCUCUCCGAGUGGUGGGGACGCUUAUUGGGCCUAAAGCAUCCGUAGCCGGCUGGGCAAGUCCUCCGUUAAAUCCAACGAUUCAAUCGUUGGGCUGCGGGGGAUACUGUCCAGCUUGGGGGCGGGAGAGGCCGACGGUAUUCCCGGGGUAGGGGUGAAAUCCUAUAAUCCCGGGAGGACCACCAGUGGCGAAGGCUGUCGGCUAGAACGCGCCCGACGGUGAGGGAUGAAAGCUGGGGGAGCGAACCGGAUUAGAUA